GCCAGUGUAGCUCAAUAGGUUUAGAGCAUGAGACCAAGCGUUCCAUGGUAGUUGGUUUGAAUUCGACCGCCGGCU